rnacentral:rRNA from 1 species
CCCUUAGAUGUUCUGGGCCGCACGCGCGCUACACUGAUGCAUUCAACGAGUCUAAAACCUGGUCUGAUAGGGCUGGGUAAUCUUUUGAAUGUGCAUCGUGAUUGGGAUAGAUGAUUGCAAUUCUUCAUCUUCAACGAGGAAUGCCUAGUAAACGCAAGUCAUCAGCUUGCAUUGAUUACGUCCCUGCCCUUUGUACACACCGCCCGUCGCUCCUACCGAUUGAAUGUUCCGAUGAAUACCAUGGACUAAGAGUACGAAUGGGUUCGCCUAUUUCUGCUUCUCGGGAAGUGGAGUAAAUCUUAACAUUUAGAGGAAGGAGAAGUCGUAACA